rnacentral:lncRNA from 1 species
UUGAACAAUCAGCAUCAUCAUCCCAUUGCUCAAGCACUACUCAUACGCUCGCCGGCAUAUACGUAUACGUUGUUGGUUGUUCGUUAGCUCGUCGUCAUCUUCGUCGCCGCCGGCCACUCGACGUUGUCGCCGCCGGUUGCGCCACUCUUCGUCGACCACACAGCUCGACGGCGGCUCCUAGCGUCGUCGUCACUAGCCGUCCGCUUGUCGACAUCGUCGCCGGCCGUUCGUCUCGUCGUCGUCGUCGUCGCCGGCUGCUCAUCUGCAUCUUGCUCCUUCACACAUACACAUACGUAAGGACAUCCAAGGCAAGGUAAGAUUUCAUGGCUGCAUCCACGCUCGUCAUAUCUGAAUAGAAUAUAUAUCAUGCACACACAUGUUCUAACUUGUCCAAUUAAAUUAGGCCUUGUUCGGUCAUAUGGUUACUCCAGUUUCCAUGUAGAUACGAAUUAAGGAUAGAAAUACAAGAUUACUCAAACUAAUUUAAUUAUGUGGAUAAAACUUUAUUGUGUAUAUACAUAUGUAUUGCCUAAAAUUAAUAUGCCCCUUGUUUGGUCACAUGACGACUCCGGUCUCAUGCUGAUACAAAUUGAGUAUUGGAAUAAGAAAUCAAACGCACAUGGUAUGACUAAAUUAAGUUUACCUUGAUUGAUCUCCAUGUUGAUACAAAUCAAGGAAACAAACCAAAUCCCUCGUUUGGUCUCACAGUGAUCUUUGGUUCUAUGUAGAUACAAAUUAGGUGCACAUAAUAAAAUUCUUCUUGAUUUGAUCUCAUGGUGAUUCCGAUCCCAUGCUGAUACAAAUCAAGAAUAAAAGUAGAAAUAAACACAAUAUAAUGUCUUCGCUGAUAGAAAUUGGACAUAUUUGCUCCAUAUAAAAUCAUAGGCUAGUUUAAUCAAAUAUUGCUAGCCAUAUAGGUAUGAUCAAAUGAAACAUUGUUGCAUGUUGUUCCACUUGCAUAUUUUAACCAAAGAAAAUUGUGCAUUCCCUUAUGUGAUGCAUGUAUAAGCUAAAUGAAUCGUGUGAGAGAUAAUUUCUCUAUAUGGAUUUUUUUUGCGCUAGAAAUAACAUAGCGCAUUGCAAUAUUUGUUCCAAGCAAUGGAUGUCAUACAUGACAAUUUCUCAUGCAUUGUUUAGUCCCAUAUAGCUAAACAGAAUCGAUAAUUGUCAUCAUGCCCAUGUAAAUAUAAAUUGACACAUACUCCAAGUUUGGUUUCAUUACAAGCAUAUGCUCUAUGCCUUGGUAGUGAUAAUACAAACAAAGAGAAAUCACCAUGCUUCAUUCGAUUAUGCUAUCCGUGGACAUAUUGUUACACGGUGCUAGUCAUAAUACGGGUGAAGUGAAACUUAAUCAAAAUACCCAUAUAGACAUGUCACUAGUCCCCAUAUAAAACUAGUGCAUUAACGUAGGUGUUGGAAUCAUAUUACACCGCAAAGUCCAUGCAUAUACGCAAUGUAAAUGUCACAUGCUUAUAAAUUGACAUUUGCUUCAAGUUUGGUUACACCACAAGUAUAUACUCUAUGCUUUGCUGGUGAUAAUACAAGCAAGAAGAAAUCACCAAACUCCUCUUGAUUAGGCUACACAUGGGCACAAUGUUGGUACAUGAUGCUAGUACUAAUACAAGUGAAGCCAAACUUUAUAAAAUAUUCUCAUAAUUCUGACAUCUAAAAUCACACUAGUCCUAUAUGAUAUAAUAAAGAACUAGUAUGGGUAAGGUGCAUGUAGGCAAUCAACUUACAUGUCAAAAGGAUAAUCCCAUAUAAAUCAAAAUCAAACCAUGAGCUCUAUAUAAGUGCAUGCAUAUUAAAAUAUACAAAUGCAUGUACAAAAUGAACUUACAUGUUAUAAGAUAACCUCAUAUAGAUCAAAAUUAAACCAUGCACUCCUCUCACAUAGGUGCAUAUGCCCAUAAAAUUAAAUGAUGACUAGAAUCAUAGCCUAUGUUACUUGCACUAAACGUAACUUAGUGCAUCAUCAUCUCCCAUAUAGCCUCCUCAUAUGUGGCUUGCCAAAAUAUAUCCAUUGUCCUAAAAUGGACAUGAUAUUCUCUAAAUUCCAUGCAUUCACACAUAAUCAAAUGCAUGAUAACUCAUAAAAAAGAGUUAUGCCCUAUAUUGCACAUAUGCUUGUUAAACCCGCUAGUUAACCAUUAAAUUAUCGUCAUAUUACCCAAAAAUAUAAAGCACUACUUAUACCAAAAUUUCCAAUGGUUAAUGAACUAGGUAAAAAAUAUCCAAAUCAUGCACGUGCAAUAUAUUAAAUUAUUAAAUAUCUUAUGAUGUAAACAAAUCAAAUGGUAAAUAUUAUGCUACCCAUAUGUUAGCAUAAACAUUCUUCAUGGCUCCCCGAAUGCGCCGACAUCGACGACAGCGCAGAGGAUCUUUUGUUUCUACAUUUUGUAGUUUUUCUUUUCUACACUUUGUAGUGAUCGUAUGUUGUAAUCCUAUGUAAUAAUUAUGUUGGAAUUCUUAAUCACGGGUUUUUUCUUUGGAGAUGUAAUUAACAGAUC